rnacentral:lncRNA from 1 species
ACAUUGGGCCAUUAUGACAUCAUAAUAGGGUCAUUAAACUGGCUUGCACCUGUGCUUCACUGACACCUGCGCCAAGGUUCCAAGGCUCCUCUUCUCUGUCCCUCUCCAUUCAACUGUAUAACUAGGAAUAUUAACAGACACCUUCCAUACUCUACUUUUUUUCUCUCCAUCUUUCUCUUUAUCUCUCUCAGUCUACUUUCUCUCACACUCCAUCUCUCUGCUUCACUCAAUUUUUCUCUCCUUCUUUCAAUAUUUUCCCUCUUCACUCUCUCUUUAUCCAGAGCCACUCUUGUUCACUCUUUGUUCCUUUCUUCUUUCUUUUUUCCACUCUUCUUUCCUUCUUCCACUCUUCUUUCCUUUCUUCUUUCCUUAUUCCACUCUUCUUUCCUUCUUCCACUCUUCUUUCCUUUCUUCUUUCCUUAUUCCACUCUUCUUUCCUUCUUUCACUCUUCUUUCCUUUCUUCUUUCCUUCUUCCACUCUUCUUCCUUUCCUUCUUCCACUCUUCUUUCCUUCUUCCACUCUUCUUUCCUUUCUUCACUCUUCUUUCCUUUCUUCUUUCCUUCUUCCACUCUUCUUUCCUUUCUUCUUUCCUUAUUCCACUCUUCUUUCCUUCUUUCACUCUUCUUUCCUUUCUUCUUUCCUUCUUCCACUCUUCUUCCUUUCCUUCUUCCACUCUUCUUUCCUUCUUCCACUCUUCUUUCCUUUCUUCACUCUUCUUUCCUUUCUUCUUUCCUUCUUCCACUCUUAUUUCCUUUCUUCACUCUUCUUUCCUUUCUUCUUUCCUUCUUCCACUCUUAUUUCCUUCUUCCUCUCUUCUUUCCUUCUUUUACUCUUCUUUCCUUUCUUCUUUCCUUCUUUCACUCUUCUUUCUUUUCUUCUUUCUUUCUUAACUUUUGCAUUUCAUGCACUGGUAUUUCCUUCAGGAAAUGCAUUUUCUAGUUAUUCUUUGUACCGACUUCUGCACUUAAUUCAGCUCGAACCGCUUAACUUAGAAACUCCGUUCAAACUUUGGCGCGUAGGUCUUGUAAAGGACACUUA